AUUGAACGCUGGCGGCAGGCCUAACCCAUGCAAGUCGAACGAGUAGCGGACGGGUGAGUAAUGUCUGGGAAACUGCCAGAUGGAGGGGGAUAACUACUGGAAACGGUCGCUAAUACCGCAUACCAUCGGAUGUGCCCAGAGGGGAUUAGCUAGUAGGUGGGGUAAUGGCUCACCUAGGCGACGAUCCCUAGCUGGUCUGAGAGGAUGACCAGCCACACUGGAACGGAGACACUGUCCAGACUCCUACGUGAGGCAGCAGUGGGGAAUAUUGCACAAGGGGCGCAAGCCUGAUGCAGCCAUGCCGCGUGUAUGAAGAGGUCCUUCGGGUUGUAAAGUACUUUCAGCGAGGAGGCGUUACUCGCAGAAGAAGCACCGGCUAACUCCGUGCCAGCCGCCGCGGUAAUAC
rnacentral:rRNA from 1 species